UGCAUUGCUGCAAACUUAUUAUUUUUUAUUUGGUGUGUAUGCCAUAUGCUAGCUUAUGGUUAUGUUUGGAAUGCUUAUGUUAUGAAUACCAUUGUUUGAUACGCCCUUCAUGAUUGGUGCAUGAUGUUUAUGGUGGAUGCAUUGAAUACUUGUGUAUGAUUUCUUUGAAUGAUUUACAAUACUUGACAUGAGCUAAUGCAUUGUUGUGAUUUCCCUGCAGGUGAGGUUAGGAUGCAUGGUUUGCUUGGUCCUGAUGUUGCAGGGUUGGUGAUGCAAUAGGUAAGGUGUUUUUGGCUUGGCAUUUGUUGCAGGCCUUGUGUAUGGUUCAUGUUGCAGGUAUGCAUUAGCUGGUAGGAUUGCAUUUGCUGCAAGUAGAUUGUAUGCACAAUUAGCAUGGCUUCGUUGGUGAUAUUAUGUUAUGUGAUUAGUUAACUUUGGUUUUGUUGCAAUGCUUUGAUGUUGAACUAUUGUAUAUGGAUUGUGGUUAUGCCAUUGCAGGUUUUGUAUGGUUGGCUAUAAGUGUGGCAUAUUAUUGAUUGCACUGCAAGAGGCUUGUAUUAACUGCUAUGCUUUUGAGCAUGUUUCAUAAUUAUUUAUGGAGUUGUGGUUCAUUGCAGAACUUGGCCUUAAUGCAUUACCAAGGCAGGUCCAGGAUUUAUAAAGGUAUUGUAUUUAAUGGUUUUUGUUUCAAUACUUGCAGGACUGACUUAGGUGAUUGUAACGUGAAUUAUGACUGCAACAAGUAUGCAUUAUUUCUGAUGUUGUAUUCUAGAAGACCUGGAUGUGGUGGAAGUGUUGCAGUAGGUAUGAUCCCAUUCCUAGCCUAGCCUUGCAAUUUCAUGGUACUUCAUAUUUCACCAUGUUCUGAUAUUGUGGCAUGAUUUGUGGCAAGGUUCUACAGAAUUGUGGAUUAUAGUCUUGUUAUGCAUUGCAGAAUUAGGGCAUGUUGCAUUGAUGCUUGGCACGACUUGGUUUUUGUUGUAACAUGAUUAACAUGGCCUACUGACUGAUGGCUUGCUUAUGCCCUACAGGUUUUCUUGCAAGAUGAAGUGUUUGGCCCAAUUCAGAAUGGUAUUGACUUAUGGUUCAUGCAGGUCAUUUGAAUGUGUAUGGUUUUGCACUUGGUGUUGGUGGGACAUGGCAUGCACCAAGUGGCUUGCAAAGUGAAUGACACAAGUUUGAAUUUGGAGUAAAAGGCCAAUUCAAGGACCAAGGAUCAAAAUUGGCAUUUGGAUUAGAAUUAGGAUGUGAUUUAAGGUUUUUUAGGAUUGGGUUGACUUUGAUCAAAGUUGACCAAAAAGUCAAUGUUGACAAAAGUCACACAUUUGGUUAAAACUUCAUUUUUUUUGUUUUUCCUCAUGUAAUGGAUAUUUAUAUGAUUAUGUAAUGAAUGAAAUUGAUAUAUUUUGAAUAAAUUGGAUUGGUUCUGGAAUGUAUGUUUGAAUGGAAUUGAUUGAUUUUGAAA
rnacentral:lncRNA from 1 species